rfam:Myotis lucifugus cont2.4538, whole genome shotgun sequence.
GCCAGGGAAGCUCAGAGGUUGAGCACUGACCCAUGAACCAGGAGGAGGUCCUGGUUCAAUUCCAGGUCAGGGCA